AACGUACUCCGGCGGCACGCCUAACACUUGCAAGUCGAACGCAGUAGCAAUACUGAGUGGCAAACGGGUGAGUAUAAUGUGGGAAUCUGCCUUUUGGUUCGGAAUAACACGAGGAAACUUGUGCUAAUACCGGAUAAGCCCUUACGGGGAAAGUUUUAAUGCCAAAAGAUGAGCCCGCACUUGAUUAGCUAGUUGGUAAGGUAAUGGCUUACCAAGGCAACGAUCAAUAGCCGUUCUUAGAGGAAGACCAGCCACAUUGGGACUGAGACACGGCCCAAACUCCUACGGGAGGCAGCAGUGGGGAAUCUUGCACAAUGGGGGAAACCCUGAUGCAGCGAUGCCGCGUGAGUGAAGAAGGCCCUUGGGUUGUAAAACUCUUUCGUCGGGGAAGAAAAUGACUGUACCCGAAUAAGAAGGUCCGGCUAACUUCGUGCCAGCAGCCGCGGUAAUACGAAGGGACCUAGCGUAGUUCGGAAUUACUGGGCUUAAAGAGUUCGUAGGUGGUUAAAAAAGUUGAUGGUGAAAUCCCAAGGCUCAACCUUGGAACUGCCAUCAAAACUUUUUAGCUAGAGUGUGAUAGAGGAAAGUGGAAUUUCUAGUGUAGGGGUGAAAUUCGUAGAUAUUAGAAAGAACAUCAAAAGCGAAGGCAACUUUCUGGAUCAUUACUGACACUGAGGAACGAAAGCAUGGGUAGCGAAGAGGAUUAGAUACCCUCGUAGUCCAUGCCGUAAACGAUGUGUGCUAGACGUUGGGAACUUAGUUCUCAGUGUCGCAGCGAAAGCAUUAAGCACACCGCCUGGGGAGUACGACCGCAAGGUUA
rnacentral:rRNA from 1 species